rnacentral:rRNA from 1 species
AUGAACGCUAGCUACAGGCUUAACACAUGCAAGUCGAGGGGCAUCAGGAAGAAAGCUUGCUUUCUUUGCUGGCGACCGGCGCACGGGUGAGUAACACGUAUCCAACCUGCCCUUUACUCGGGGAUAGCCUUUCGAAAGAAAGAUUAAUACCCGAUGGCAUAAUGAUUCCGCAUGGUUUCAUUAUUAAAGGAUUCCGGUAAAGGAUGGGGAUGCGUUCCAUUAGGUUGUUGGUGAGGUAACGGCUCACCAAGCCUUCGAUGGAUAGGGGUUCUGAGAGGAAGGUCCCCCACAUUGGAACUGAGACACGGUCCAAACUCCUACGGGAGGCAGCAGUGAGGAAUAUUGGUCAAUGGGCGCUAGCCUGAACCAGCCAAGUAGCGUGAAGGAUGAAGGCUCUAUGGGUCGUAAACUUCUUUUAUAUAAGAAUAAAGUGCAGUAUGUAUACUGUUUUGUAUGUAUUAUAUGAAUAAGGAUCGGCUAACUCCGUGCCAGCAGCCGCGGUAAUACGGAGGAUCCGAGCGUUAUCCGGAUUUAUUGGGUUUAAAGGGAGCGUAGGUGGACUGGUAAGUCAGUUGUGAAAGUUUGCGGCUCAACCGUAAAAUUGCAGUUGAUACUGUCAGUCUUGAGUACAGUAGAGGUGGGCGGAAUUCGUGGUGUAGCGGUGAAAUGCUUAGAUAUCACGAAGAACUCCGAUUGCGAAGGCAGCUCACUGGACUGCAACUGACACUGAUGCUCGAAAGUGUGGGUAUCAAACAGGAUUAGAUACCCUGGUAGUCCACACAGUAAACGAUGAAUACUCGCUGUUUGCGAUAUACUGCAAGCGGCCAAGCGAAAGCGUUAAGUAUUCCACCUGGGGAGUACGCCGGCAACGGUGAAACUCAAAGGAAUUGACGGGGGCCCGCACAAGCGGAGGAACAUGUGGUUUAAUUCGAUGAUACGCGAGGAACCUUACCCGGGCUUAAAUUGCAGUGGAAUGAUGUGGAAACAUGUCAGUGAGCAAUCACCGCUGUGAAGGUGCUGCAUGGUUGUCGUCAGCUCGUGCCGUGAGGUGUCGGCUUAAGUGCCAUAACGAGCGCAACCCUUAUCUUUAGUUACUAACAGGUCAUGCUGAGGACUCUAGAGAGACUGCCGUCGUAAGAUGUGAGGAAGGUGGGGAUGACGUCAAAUCAGCACGGCCCUUACGUCCGGGGCUACACACGUGUUACAAUGGGGGGUACAGAAGGCAGCUAGCGGGUGACCGUAUGCUAAUCCCAAAAUCCUCUCUCAGUUCGGAUCGAAGUCUGCAACCCGACUUCGUGAAGCUGGAUUCGCUAGUAAUCGCGCAUCAGCCACGGCGCGGUGAAUACGUUCCCGGGCCUUGUACACACCGCCCGUCAAGCCAUGGGAGCCGGGGGUACCUGAAGUACGUAACCGCAAGGAUCGUCCUAGGGUAAAACUGGUGACUGGGGCU